rnacentral:rRNA from 1 species
AACGAACGCUGGCGGCGUGCCUAACACAUGCAAGUCGAGCGAGAAAGUCUCCGCAAGGGGGCGAGUAAAGCGGCGCACGGGUAAGUAACACGUGGGUAAUCUGCCUAGGAGUCCGGAAUAACCUUCCGAAAGGAGGGCUAAUGCUGGAUAAGACCACGGGGACCUCGGUCCCUGAGGUAAAAAGGUGGCCUCUGUAUACAAGCUACCACCCCUAGAGGAGCCCGCGGCCCAUCAGCUAGUUGGCGGGGUGAUGGCCCACCAAGGCUACGACGGGUAGCUGGUCUGAGAGGACGAUCAGCCACACUGGAACUGAGACACGGUCCAGACUCCUACGGGAGGCAGCAGUGGGGAAUUUUGCGCAAUGGGCGAAAGCCUGACGCAGCAACGCCGCGUGAGUGAUGAAGGUCUUCGGAUCGUAAAGCUCUUUCGGCCGGGACGAAAACGGGUUGGCCAAUAUCCAACUCCUUGACGGUACCGGAAGAAGAAGCACCGGCUAACUC